rnacentral:rRNA from 6 species
AAAAUGACUCUCGGCAACGGAUAUCUCGGCUCU